AGGUCUUCGGAUGCUGACGAGUGGCGAACGGGUGAGUAAUACAUCGGAACGUGCCCGAGAGUGGGGGAUAACGAAGCGAAAGCUUUGCUAAUACCGCAUACGAUCUCAGGAUGAAAGCAGGGGACCGCAAGGCCUUGCGCUCACGGAGCGGCCGUUGGCAGAUUAGGUAGUUGGUGGGAUAAAAGCUUACCAAGCCGACGAUCUGUAGCUGGUCUGAGAGGACGACCAGCCACACUGGGACUGAGACACGGCCCAGACUCCUACGGGAGGCAGCAGUGGGGAAUUUUGGACAAUGGGCGCAAGCCUGAUCCAGCCAUGCCGCGUGCAGGAUGAAGGCCUUCGGGUUGUAAACUGCUUUUGUACGGAACGAAAAGACUCUGGUUAAUACCUGGGGUCCAUGACGGUACCGUAAGAAUAAGCACCGGCUAACUACGUGCCAGCAGCCGCGGUAAUACGUAGGGUGCGAGCGUUAAUCGGAAUUACUGGGCGUAAAGCGUGCGCAGGCGGUUAUGUAAGACAGAUGUGAAAUCCCCGGGCUCAACCUGGGAACUGCAUUUGUGACUGCAUAGCUAGAGUACGGCAGAGGGGGAUGGAAUUCCGCGUGUAGCAGUGAAAUGCGUAGAUAUGCGGAGGAACACCGAUGGCGAAGGCAAUCCCCUGGGCUGUACUGACGCUCAUGC
rnacentral:rRNA from 1 species